rnacentral:lncRNA from 1 species
GUGUAUGUGCGCAUGUGUGUGUAAUGUAUGUGUGUGUGCAUGUGUAUGUAUGUGUUCAUGUGUGUAUGUGUGUGUGUGAUGUAUGUAUGUGUGUGCAUGUGGGGGGUAGGUGUGUGUAUGUAUGUGUGCAUGUGUGUAUGUGUGGGUGGGUGGGUGUGGGUGUAAAUGACUCACAUAUUCACCCUUCAUCUGAAGAAACUAUGCUUUUUUCUCUCUCUCUUUAAAUUCAGGCAAAAUCCCUGGUCAACCCUCCCAACAGGGGACCUGCUGUCUUGUAUGUUGCUUUUGGUCUUCAGGACCCUGUCCUUAAACAAUCUUCAGUGUUGUGCUGCAGGCUCUAGUAUCCAUGCCCGUGAGCCCUCAAGCCUGAAGACACAGUCAAGGACGCUCCUUGAGGCUCAGGCACGGAUGAGGACAGAGCACAGGUGAGGAUGGCAAAGUCCUGCUUGCCAGUCCCAGGAGACAGCGGGGGACCAGGCAGAAGAAGGAGGUGGCUGAGCAGGACCCUAGGGCAGCCUAGGGCAGACACAGGCCUUGCUCUGCUUACUUGGAAAGCAAAUGACUGGAGAAUGGAGGCUGCCUAAGAUCUCCCAGCCCCAAGCUACAGGGCAUAAGUGCAGAAGUUAGCAAAUGCGCACUGGAAAGGUCCAGAAAGUGUUUAUUAGAGAGAGGUCUCAAGGACCACACAAUCCUUGUCAUGAGACUCCGUUCUGCUGCUAUAGCGGGAAAACAGACUGUCAGUAACCAAAUGAGCGUGGCUGUGUGCCAGCACCGCUAGGCACGACAGGGAAUCUAAUUCAUGUAGUGUGCAUUUGUGAAAUGUCUCUCUGUUGAUUCUUCCUUUACACAUUUAAAAACGUAAAAUGCUUUCUUUCCUCAGAGGCUACAUCACAACAUGCUGAAGGCCUGAUCUUAUCUGAGUCCCUUGCCAACCCCCAGUUCUAGAAAGAACUACCUGGUCAGAGGUGCAUAUAGAAAUCUGGGGUCAGGCUGGCGAGAUGGCUCAGCGGGUAAGGGCACUGACUGCUCUUCCCAAGGUCCUGAGUUCAAAUCCCAGCAACCACCCGUUAUGAUAUCUGGCGCCCUCUUCUGGUGUGCCUGAAGACAGCUACCAUGUACUUAUUUAUUAUAAAUAAGUCUUUGGGCUGGAGUGAGCAGGGACUGAGCGAGCAGGGUUGACUGGAGAGAGCAGAGGUCCUAAAAAAAAUAAAAAUCAAUUCCCAACAACCACAUGAAGGCUCACAACCAUCUGUACAGCUACAGUGUACUCACACAUAUAAAUUUAAAAA